AGCAGCACGAUGGACGUUUUUACAUCCUGAACUUCAGUUUUCCAUUUAUUAUCACUGGAGCCGUGCUUUUCAGUGUGGAGUCCCAGAGCAGAGACCUUAAAGGCCUACCAUGUCUGAAGCUCGUACUUCCCAAUUUGGAUGUGCGAGCUUCCAACUUGCACUUGAAGGCUGAGAGAUUAUAGAAAAGAAAGGAGAAGAAGAGAAGAGUGAGCGUGGUCUCACCUCGCUGGUGUUACAGAUGUCUCCCAGUGUGGAUCCACAAGCUUUCCCCGGUGUGGCGUUCCAGGGAAUAAUACCUGCAGGAUCAGACAGAUGAAGCAUCUCACUUCAGCUGAGACAAGCGGCAUUUUCCUCGGCCUGAGAGUUUAUGAUUGAAGGUAAUCCAUCAGACCAGAUGAAAGAAAGCUUGGCAGAAAGCAUUAAUGUCAGCGCAAUUAUCACAUUUGUUAUCGUCCCUUGAAAAGAAAAAAUGAAUCAAACAAAUAAAAAUGAAUCAAAUAAAUGACAUGCAAAAAAAAAAAGCUGUACGUUUUUGUUGCUACAAACUCGGAUGUUUUAGAAGAAAUAUGAACCCUGGCUUUUUUCUUAGGAGCUGUCAAUCAUUUGAAUUCAGUCCUCUGUUGUGCUGUCA